ACUGUCUGCUGACUCUCAAAGUGUAAUCCAGGGAAAUUGGGGGAAUCAGGGACUCCUCUGAAUCCCCUUCAGAGAGUCCACAAGGAUUGGAGAUACCGUCCUGUAGAUUGGGAUGAUCUGGUAUAGACAGAGAAAAGGAAGCAGAUGACUCAGGAGAGAAUAAUUGCAGAAGAAAAUGGACGAGAAUCACAACAAUUUGAGAUAUAUAUCUACAAGUGGAACAGGAUAGUCAUAUGGCAGUUGUAAUUUUAGCUUUUUGAGCAACUUCUAAUA